AUGGGGAACCCAACUAAGGCUUAGAGAGGUGAAGCAAGGAAUGAAGAGCUGGGGUUAGAGCCUGAGGCUGCUCACCUCUGAAUUGUGAGAGUUGGAGGCCCAGAAGGACAUGCUGCCUUCCGCAGAUUCCUCUUCAGAUUACUGGGACAGACACCUAAAUCCUCUCUAGUUCUGAAGAUACUGUUUUUACCUCCUCCAUCAUCCACUCUCCUGCACUCUCCCUACACAGAGAAGGGAAUGAGAAUAGAGGUGAGAACUUCUCUUCCCAGAGGUGGAGAAUUCUGCAGAAUUUCAGAAGCACUGGCUUAGUGUGUUGCCUCCUGGCUCCUACAAAAGGACUGUUGGUCUCCACCUGGAUCUUUAAGACUUCCUGACAGGUGUGUGGUUGGGGAUUGGAAAUUACCAGUCAAGAAACCCCCAGGAUUUGGAACUCCUGCAUUUCAACAACAAAAAGAUAAACAACCCAAUCAAAAAAUGAGAAAAGGACUUGAGUAGACAUUUCUCCAAAGAAGAUAUACAAAUGGCGAUUAAGCACAUGAAAAGAUGCUCAACAUCAUUAGUCAUUAAGAAAUUGUCGGCCGGGUGCAGUGGCUCAUGCUUGUAAUCCCAGCAUUUUGGGAGGCCAAGGUGGGUGGAUCACUUGAGGUCGGGAGUUCGAGACCAGCCUGGCCAACGUGGGGAAACCCCGUCUCUACUAAGAAUACAAAAAAAUUAGCAGGACAUGGCAGCAUGCCCCUGUAAUCCCACCUAUUUGGGAGGCUGAGGCAGAAGAAUUGCUUGGACCUGGGAGGUGGAGGUUGCAGUGAGCCAAGAUCCAGCCAUUCAACUCUAGCCUGAGCAACAGAGGGAGACUCCAUCUCAAAAAAAAAAAACAAAAAAAAAAGGAAGAAAAUGUAAAUGGAAACUGCAAUGAGAUGGUGUUUCGUAUCCAUUAAGAUGGCUGUUAUCAGUAAGUCAAAGAAAAACAUGUUGUCAAGGAUGUGGAGAAAUCUGAACUCUUGUAAUUGCUGGUGGGAAUGUAAAGUGGUACAGCCACUGUGGGAAGCCAGGAGUUCAAGACCAGCCUGGCCAACAUGGCGAAACCCAAUCCCUACUAAAUAUACAAAAAAAAUUAGCGAGGCAUGUGGUGUAUGCCUUUAAUCCCAGCUACUUGGGAAGCUGAGGCACGAGAAUGGCUUGAACCUGGGAAGCAGAGGUUGCAGUGAGUUGGGAUCGUGCCAGCCUGGGCGACAGAGGGAGACUGUCAUUAAAAAAAAAAAAAAAAGAAAGAAAGAAAGAAAGAAAAAUAAUUUUUAUAUAACCCAGCAAUUCCAUGUCUAGGUAUAUACACCAAAGAAUUGAAAAUAGAAACCCAAACAGGCAGGGCACAGUGGCUCAUGCCUGUAAUUCCAACACUUUGGAAGGCCGAGGCAGGAGCAUUUCUUGAGCCCAGGAGUUUGCGACCAGCCUGGUCAGCAUAACAAGACCUCAUCUCUACAAAAAAACUAAAAAACAAAAAAUUAGCACAGCGUGGUGUUGUGCACCUGAAGACCUAGCUACUCGGAAGACUGAGGUAGCAGAAUUGCUUAAGAGUCCAGGAGGUUGAGGCUGCAGUGAGAUAUGAUAGGGCCACUACACUCCAGCCCCGGUGACAGAGCAAGACCCUGUCUUGCAACAAAGCAAGCAAGCAAGCAAGCAAGCAAGCAAGAAAAAGAAAAAAAAGAAAAGAAAGACAGACUCAAACAGAUACUUGUGUGCCAACGUUCAUUGCAGCAUUAUUUGCAAUAGCCAAAAAGUGGAAGGAAACAACCUGUGUCCAUCAACAGAUAAAUGGAUAAACAAAAUGUGAUAUACCAUACAAUGGAAUAUUAUUCAGCCAUAAAACAAAUAAAGUUCUGAUAGAUGCUACCAUAUGAGUAAACUUUGAAGACAUUAUACUAGUGAAAUAAGUUAGCCACAAAAGGACAAAUAUUAUAUGAUUCUACUUAUAUGAAAUACCUAGAACAGGCAAAUUCAUAGAGACAGAAAGUAGAUUAGUGGUUCCCAGGGGUUGAAGAAGGUAGGAAUGGAUAAUUACUGCUUAAUGGCUACAGCAUUUCUGCUUGUGUUGAUGAAACAUUUUUUGGAAAUGGAUAGUGGUAAUGAUUGCACAACACUGUGAAUGUAAUUAACACCACCGAAUAGACACUUAAAAUGGUUAAAAUGGCCAAAAUUCAAGUUGUGUAUAUUUGACUAUCAUUUUAAAAAUUGAAACAUAAAGAAUACCAAGAAAGAAAGCUCCAAAAGGAAGACAUA
rnacentral:lncRNA from 10 species